GCUAUUUUGGCAGAAAAGUGUAAUGGUUUUAGAAAUCAUAAAUAUAUAAUUAAAUUAUAUAAGUAGUA
rnacentral:tRNA from 1 species